rnacentral:rRNA from 1 species
UACGUAGGGUGCGAGCGUUGUCCGGAUUUAUUGGGCGUAAAGAGCUCGUAGGCGGUGUGUCACGUCGGCCGUGAAAACCUGCAGCUUAACUGUGGGCGUGCGGUCGAUACGGGCAUCACUGGAGUUCGGCAGGGGAGACUGGAAUUCCUGGUGUAGCGGUGAAAUGCGCAGAUAUCAGGAGGAACACCGGUGGCGAAGGCGGGUCUCUGGGCCGAUACUGACGCUGGAGGAGCGGAAAGCGUGGGGAGCAAACAGG